rfam:Aedes albopictus isolate Foshan contig49762, whole genome shotgun sequence.
UGUUUUGUGGCUCAGUUGGUUAAAGCGCUGAUCUAUUAAAUUCAGACUCGUGGGUUCGAGCCCCAACAAAACGC